CNCGAACUUGGAAAUGGUUGCGACGAAUAUUUUUAAUUCUUUCAAGGUUUUAUCGAUAUUUUCCUUUUCCUUUGUGAAUAAAUAAAGUUCGGUGGCGACUUUACUGUCUAAGCGAGUGUUUUAUGCUCGCGCAUUUUUCCAGCCACUUCAGGUUCUGUGUUUCGACUAAUCAUACUGUAACUAAAUAUAAGGACACAAAAGUUUCCCGUCGAAUAGCAUACCGCAGCCAACCAUUGUUACUAAACAACAUCGGUAACUGCGAUAAGACUAGUAGACGGAGGACUAUGCGACCACUUAGGCACGAAAUGUUAAAAACUAAACACUACAAACACUAAAAAAUA
rnacentral:lncRNA from 1 species